CCAAUUCCUACGAGCAGAUGGUUCGGUAAGUCAGGGAAUUGAUUCGAAGGAUCAAAAAAUUGAUCUCAUUAUUAUCUCAAGAAUCUGGUUUUAGAUCAGAGGCAGAGAAAACUCCGAUUGGUUUACCUGCCUCAUCGGCAAGUUCGUAUGAACUGGUACCAACCCUAGCGAGGACAAUACAUGGUACAUAAGAUGGACCCAACUUGGCAUUAUACCGAUCUGCAGCCGAUGACUGGCGGAAGUUUCGUUUAUAAACUUUCUGUCCAACGGCGUAUGAUGGAGCAGGUUUACGGAAACAUGGUGAACCAUAAGAUGCUUAUACUGGAUUAUAAUGUCUGAAUCCAUAUUAAUUGCAGUAAUUUGGACUAUCUGCCCAGGCGAACGAAAAAUAUUAAAUACCGAUUCACAGCCAGAUCAACGUCUGUGCCCUCCACAGACUCACUCUGCUAUCCAGCAGUACUAACCCUUCUUCGUCACCGGUCAAAUGAACGGCACUCCAGGAUGGUUUUGAAAAGCGGCUUAUGUGAUUCUAGGGUUAUUUAACACUUUUCUUUCGUUGGCUUCAGAUAGUUUUAUUACUAUAUUAAUUUUAUCACAGCACCAUUUCAAUAUAAAUAAAUAAUCCAACACCAAUUAUACGAAUAUUAU